rnacentral:rRNA from 1 species
UGGGGAAUUUUGGACAAUGGGGGCAACCCUGAUCCAGCAAUGCCGCGUGUGUGAAGAAGGCCUUCGGGUUGUAAAGCACUUUUGUCCGGAAAGAAAACGUCGUGGUUAAUACCCGUGGCGGCUGACGGUACCGGAAGAAUAAGCACCGGCUAACUACGUGCCAGCAGCCGCGGUAAUACGUAGGGUGCAAGCGUUAAUCGGAAUUACUGGGCGUAAAGCGUGCGCAGGCGGUCCGCUAAGACAGAUGUGAAAUCCCCAGGCUUAACCUGGGAACUGCAUUUGUGACUGGCGGGCUAGAGUAUGGCAGAGGGGGGUAGAAUUCCACGUGUAGCAGUGAAAUGCGUAGAGAUGUGGAGGAAUACCGAUGGCGAAGGCAGCCCCCUGGGCCAAUACUGACGCUCAUGCACGAAAGCGUGGGGGAGCAAACAGGAUUAGAUACCCUGGUAGUCCACGCCCUAAACGAUGUCAACUAGUUGUCGGGUCUUCAUUGACUUGGUAACGUAGCUAACGCGUGAAGUUGACCGCCUGGGGAGUACGGUCGCAAGAUUAAAACUCAAA